rnacentral:rRNA from 1 species
AUUGAACGCUGGCGGCAGGCCUAACACAUGCAAGUCGAGCGAGAGGCGGACGGGUGAGUAAUGUCUGGGAAACUGCCUGCUGGAGUGGGAUAACUACUGGACACGGUAGCUAAUACCGCAUACCAUCAUAUGUGCCCCGAUGGGAUUUGCUAGUAGGUGGGGUAAUGGCUUACCUAGGCGACGAUGCCUAGCUGGGCUGAGAGGAUGACCGGCCACACUGGAACUGAGACACGGUCCAGACUCCUACGGGAGGCAGCAGUGGGGAAUCUUGGACAAUGGACGAAAGCCUGACGCAGCCAUGCCGCGUGUGUGAAGAAGGCCUUCGGGUUGUAAAGCACUGUCAGCGAGGAGGCGUUACUCGCAGAAGAAGCACCGGCUAACUCCGUGCCAGCAGCCGCGGUAAUUC